CAAAGUGCGCGAGCACCGAGGGCAAAGUGCUUCCGCUUCCGUAUUUAGAUUACAGAUACAGACAAAUCUGACCGUGGAGAAGAAUAACUGUGUCCAAAUGCUAUCAGUUUACGGAUCUUCGGGAUUCUACAAAGCUCCAGUGAGUAAGGGUCUUGUGUGGCUGUCCCUGGCCGCAUCCUUUGCUUUCUCCUUCCCACUACAGCACUACAAGAGCUACCUCCUGUACAACCCACAGCUGCUGCUGGAGAAACACCAGAUAUGGCGGCUUCUCUCCUCCCGCGUGGCCUUUCUUGAUCUCAAGGAUCUGUUUGUGUGCUGCAUGCUGGUCUAUUACUUCAGGAUCUUUGAACGCAGAUUUGGAUCCAGAAAGUUUGUAUCGUACCUGAUGGCGUCAGGAGCCCUGGCCUGUGGUGUGGAGUUGGUGUCACUGUGGGUGUGUCAGCACCUGGAGAUAUCCGUGGAGAAUCUGCCAACAGGACCGAUCUGCUUCGUGUUUCCUCUGUUUGUGCCGUACUACUUUGAUAUUCCACGCGUCGCCAUGACUCACAUUCUGGGCGUGCCAGUCACAGGGAAGACGCUGACCUACAUCCUGGGUCUACAGGUUGCGAGUCCCACGUUUGAGACAAGACUUGUUGCAGUCUGUGGAAUUAUUGGUGGGUUGCUGUGGAGACUGAACUUUCUGAAAGUGAAGUCCCUGGUGGUGAUCCCGAGGUGUGUGGCCUCCAUGCUGGAUGCGACGCUGGGGCGGGUGCUGCAGUCGCCACCCCCGAAGACGCCGGAGCUGCCGAUGGGCGCCACGCUGGAGCUGCAGAGACAGGAGCAGCUGGACCGGCUGGAGCAGCAGAUGGUCAUGGCCUUCCAGAACUCACAGCCAGCCCACCGCCCAAACAUCGAUAUCCCCAGGCCACAGCCACUGAAUGUAGCAAACGGUCCUGGUAUAUUUGGAAACCCUGACUUUCUGUUACCACCUGGCUUACGUCAGCGCAAUAACAUGGACGAUGUCCCCCCUGACAACCACAACUCUGCCUCCGACCUCUCAGGACCACAGCUGGAGGAACAGGUGCAACGACUUGUAGAGAUGGGAUUUAGCCAGGACCGAGUAAGGCAUGCUCUCCAGGUUACCAACAAUGAUAUUUCCAUGGCAACCAAUGUUCUUCUACAGGAGACAUAACACAGGAUUGAUGAUGUCAAGCAGGGAUGUUUUAUUAAACUGCCAUAGAUCAUUACGUGGACAGUACUUGCUGGGAUGGAAGUUGCACUUCAGAUAAUGAACACCGCUCACUUGUGUUGCAGCAUGCCAUUGGAGGAAGUGGAAGUUUACUCUGAAUCAUGAAAUUUGAUUGGACCAAUUACUUUCAACACUCUCCUAGCAUGUUUACGUGUGGGUCAACAUUUUAGAUUUACCCCAUGGAUGUUAACUUGCCCAGAAAAGAAUUAACAUGCUGUGUCAGGAACCUGGCCAGGUCCUCAUGGACCAGACCCAUUGUGUGACUAUGUGUGACUGUCUGUGUGACUGUCUGUGUGACUGAGUGUGAUUGUGUGUGUGACAUCAGUCAGUCAUUACACGUGCUUAUAUACCAGAGUACUGACAGAUACAAGAAUAGUGACAGAUACUAGAGUACUGAUAGAUACUGAAGUACAGAGAGAUACUAAAGUACAGACAAAUACUAGAGUACUGGUGGCCUCGGAGAACAAAGGUGAUGGGGAAAGGUAUUGAGUAUUUAUCUUUAGGAUCAUACGUGAAGGCUGCGAAUGUAAACUGUCACAAUUUCAGUGUUGACUCACAGACAAAAGUAAUUUAUACCAAUUGAGAUUCACUAAUCAGUUUGUUUACUGUAGUGGCAAUGUUGAUACGUUGCAGAUUGGAUUCAGUGUCGAUUCACAGAUGAUAGUAAUUGAAACUCACUCAGUUUCACUAAUCUGUUUGUGUACUGAACUACAGUGAGAUUAUUCCAUGUACGUUUGAUGGUUCACUGCGGACUGACACUGAUGGAGUUUGUCACUCAUGUUAGAAUAUAUUAAGAGUUAUGACUCAGAAUGUGUUACUCACAUGAAUUUUACAUGAUAAUAUAUAGCAGUCAGGACUUAAGAAACAGUUACCAUAGGUGUUAUUAUGUUAAAACCGUGUUCGUUUAUAGUCAUGUUCUACUGUAUAUGGAUCAAUAGUCCUGAUGCACAUGGAUAAACAUUCUCAAUAUGUAGCCUAGUUAAUCUUUGAGCAUAAUUAAAAUGGCACCCUUAUAUGAAGUGAGGGAAACAUAAUGAGGCUUCUGAAGUGACCACAACUGUCAGUGAUGACAAAAUGUUCUACACAGGCAUUGGGGUGCAGUAGAGUGACAUCACUGUCCGUGAUGACAAAAUGUUCUACACAGGCAUUGGGGUCAGUAGAGUGACAUCACUGUCCGUGAUGACAAAAUGUUCUACACAGGCAUUGGGGUGCAGUAGAGUGACAUCACUGUCCGUGAUGACAAAAUGUUCUACACAGGCAUUGGGGUGCAGUAGAGUGACAUCACUGUCCGUGAUGACAAAAUGUUCUACACAGGCAUUGGGGUGCAGUAGAGUGACAUCACUGUCUGUGAUGAAGAAGUACCAAAUGGCAGGUUUCUUGGACUUCCUUGAGCUGAAUCCGUAAGCCUCUCCAUGCUAGGAGUAUUAUGGCAUGAGGUCAUGAAGCAAUGAAUUAUAUUCUAUUUAUCAGUGUAAAAGUUAAUUGUCUGAGGUGAUUAAAUUAUCAGGUUCUUGUGUAUUGUAGUCCUACCUUGAUACAUUGUGUAUCAUGUCAACGUGACGGUGCAUCCCUGUUACAAAUACAAGUCUGUUUAUGAAGCUUUCAUAUUCUGAACCUUGACUCUUGCACAGCAUACGCUGGUGAUUAAUAGUAACUUUGUAACUUUGCAUAAUACUGAUAGGAACACUAAUAAGAACACUGAUGACAGUUGUAAGGUUCCACAGUGGCGUGUGUUGUGUGAGUUCCUUGUUCCAUAUUCUUACUGUAAGGUCCUAUGUUGACAUGUGACUUCAUGGCCUGACAUGUGACUUCAUGGGUUUGACAUGUGACUUCAUGGGUUGACAUGUGACUUCAUGGGUUGACAUGUGACUUCAUGGGUUGACAUGUGACUUCAUGGGUUUGACAUGUGACUUCAUGGGUUUGACAUGUGACUUUUUGGGUUGACAUGUGACUUCAUGGGUUGACAUGUGACUUCAUGGGUUUGACAUGUGACUUUUUGGGUUGAUAUGUGACUUCAUGGGUUGACAUGUGACUUCAUGGGUUUGACAUGUGACUUCAUGGGUUUGACAUGUGACUUAAUGGGUUGACGUGAAUUCAUGGGUUUGACAUGUGACUUUUUGGGUUGACAUGUGACUUCAUGGGUUUGACAUGUGACUUCAUGGGUUGACAUGUGACUUCAUGGAUUGACAUGUGACUUCAUAGGUUGACACGUGACUUUUGGGGUUGACAUGUGACUUUUUGGGUUGACAUGUGCCUUUUUGUGUUGACAUGUGACUUUUUGGAUGGACAUGUGACUUUAUCCCCUAAGGCAGCUGAAUGUAAGGCGGGUAGAAAGUUUGAGAUCCUGUUGUAAAUGUGGUAGAUAUUGUAUCAAACAUCUUGAUUAGCUGACACAAGUGCUAUAUUGCAACAGAAGAUCAUUAAUACUGCUUGAAUCAUGUUAACAAAGGGGGGGCACGGGUGGCCCAGUCAUCUAAGGCGCCGCGAUUCGCUGUGCAGAGUUGCCUCCCUUGGGCACGCCAGAAACCUAUGAUUGUGGGUUCGAAUCCCGGUUCGCCCCGAUUAUGUUUCUAGGUUUGUCAGCACCAUACCUGUGCUCGUGGGAUUCACCGAAGUGGUAAACGUCUGAGACCUGCUUUCCUCCCACAUUAAGCUGACACGCUGCGAUAUAACUGGAAUACUGUUAAAAGCGGCGUUAAACCUAACUCUCUCACGCAUGUUAACAAAGAAUACAUCGCAUCGAAAUGAAUCUGAGUAAGGUAACUAUUUUAUGGUUUUUCAGUCUGUGGUAUUUUCGAAUGUAAUAAAUGCUAACAGUAUAUGACAAUAAGGUUGAUGUGUGAAUUAAUUGUAGUAGGAUCUCGGGCCAGUUCCGAUGUCACCACCACUCACUAAACAAUAACCACAGACUGUCAGUUGAUGUCAUGGGAGAAUGAAUGUAGAGCAUGAGGGACUUCAAUUGUGAAUAAAUGCUUUCAAAGA
rnacentral:misc_RNA from 1 species